AAAGUUUGAUCAUGGCUCAGGAUGAACGCUGGCGGCGUGCUUAACACAUGCAAGUCGAACGGAGACAUAUUUUGAAGUUUUCGGAUGGAAAGAUAUGUUCUUAGUGGCGGACGGGUGAGUAAUGUAUGAGCAACCUGCCUUUAAGAGGGGGACAACAGUUGGAAACGACUGCUAAUACCGCAUAAUACGAAUUUGUCGCAUGACAGAUUUGUCAAAGGAGCAAUCCGCUUAAAGAUGGGCUCAUA
rnacentral:rRNA from 1 species